rnacentral:rRNA from 1 species
GGCGCCGGGUGCGUNNCGCGUGGGAAUCUGCCCCUGGUUCGGAAUACAGUGAGAAAUGAAGCUAAUACGGAUGAUGACGUAAGUCAAAGAUUAUCGCCGAGGGAUGAGCCGCGUAGGAUUACUAGUUGGUGUGGUAAAGGCGCACCAAGGCGACGAUCCUUAGCUGGUCUGAGAGGAUGAUCAGCCACACUGGGACUGAGACACGGCCCAGACUCCUACGGGAGGCAGCAGUGGGGAAUAUUGGACAAUGGGCGAAAGCCUGAUCCAGCAAUGCCGCGUGAGUGAUGAAGGCCUUAGGGUUGUAAAGCUCUUUUACCCGGGAUGAUAAUGACAGUACCGGGAGAAUAAGCCCCGGCUAACUCCGUGCCAGCAGCCGCGGUAAU